CGGGGGCUGUCCGCGUGCGUCGGGGUGAGCAGCAUCGCCCGUCCAGGCACGUCCCGCAGUAGUUGGGCCGAUAGAGACGUGUGCUGCGGCAGCCGGCGUAGCGCAGACGCAGAGGCUCAGGAGACUUGUGGGCACAUUCACAGAACUACAGGGACGAAUGUUGCAGAGUCUGGUUUCCUUCAGCAGCUUGCACUGCGCAUUCUCAUUGGUGACCCGAGAUGAAACGCCCAUCCCGCAGCUGCGCGAACAAGGCGUCCAGCGUGUAGUCUGUGCAACACAUUGCCACCCGGCUUGCUUCCAUGCUGGGAAAAACGAGAGAGACGGGGGAUCUCGUGGAAAAGAAGCAGUGGGCUCCUAAACACAGGCACCCACACAGAAGCACAUGCAGGAGGAACCGCCACAGCUCACAUUGGGACUGAUUGUUAUUUGAAGGGCAGCCCAAAGGGGCGUUUACACAGGACACAUUCUUGCACUUCGCUGCAUUAUUUUUAAUUGUUGGUUUAUGUAAACAUAUGCUAAACAGACGUCAUUGUUGGUAACGAUGCAUAUCAC